AAACAAGCAAAAAUAAACCUACAGUGUGAAAUUACAGGCUCAAGAAUAUUUACUAAUAUACUGAAGAAAUGUGUACAUAUUACUGAAAUCUAUAACUCUACUUGGGUUUUUUGUUUGUUGUUUGUUUGUUGCUUACUUAGUGUCUCUGAAAGUACUUAGCACCUAUUGGUCUCAGGAAAACAUCUGUAAGCUGUAGCAGCUGGUGUCACCUUCCCUGUGCAGAUCACAAGGUUCUUGGCAGUCACUUCCAUACCAGACCAGUGAGUAUUGUUUUUCUUCUUUCCAAAUGGAUAGACAAAAGCAAACUGGAGAUAAAAGCCUUGUUCAGAACCACACAUUUCACUCACCCAGUGAGAAACAAUGGCUGCCUGUCUUCUCAUCCUUCAACAAUGAAGAGCUUUCAAGCUUUGCUGUCAAUAAGAGUUCUGGAAAGAUUACACUGGCUGAAAGGCACAAUGGGUCCACCCUCCUUACCCUUGGACUCUGGAUCCAAACUCAAGCAAUCAACCAAAGCAAGAUGGACAACAUUAAGAAAGUCUGCUUGGACAUCCAAGAAGGAAGACUCUCGUGUGUCAACAAGCACAAGCAGCGAAGCUUAAGACACAGGAAGAGAGCUUCAGAGUUUAAAUGUGUGCUCACAUCCGUAUUCCUUUCCCUUGAUGAGAAGUUGGCUGGAACCAGCAUUCAGUCUUGAGAAACGCAAAUUCUUCCCUGACAGGUUCACUAAGUUGGCCUCAUCCAAACAGUGAAGCAUAGCCGAUGUCUAAUCUAAUAAGAAAACUUUCUGGGUUUCUCCCAAGUCAAACUGGGAACAAGUGAAGGGAAGUUCAGAUGUCCUCACGCGCCAGUGUUCGUCAUUUAUGUGGUCAGUGCACGUAGGGACAGGCCAGACUGAAAUCGAGAAGCUCCGGCAGCCUCCCGGAAGCAAAGUAUAAACUGCCCAGAUUGUAAAAGCGAGGUCACUCACCUCCUAUAGUCUCAGGCAUAACUUAACCCACUGCUCUUCUCUUGUGAAAUGCUGGUAUAAUUACCAGUGAGAAAAAAGAAAGAAAACAAACAAACAAACAAAACCAGAUUGCCACACCUUUCUUUUCAGCCAGUCACUUGUGAACACCUCUGAUGGUCCUUGUCAGUUAUUUCGAUUAUUUAAGAAUGUCUGUCUGAUUCCACCUUUAAUUGUCAUCCCUGGCAUAGUGUUGGCAUUUCUUUAUGCUAGGCAAGUUAGCUGAAGACAAAGUUCUGAAAUGGCAUUAAGCAUUGGAGCAAUAGAGUCAGCAGGGUGGCUCAGAGGGAAAAGGGGCUUGUCUGCAAGCCUGCCAAUCAAUUUGCUCACCAGAUCCUGCAUGGGGCUAGGAAAGAACUAUCUCCUGCAAACUGUCUUCUCACCUCUACACAUGAUAUAUGCAUGCCAGAUAUACAAAUGUAAAAUAAGCUUUUUUUUUUUUUUUAAACAGGGUUUCUCUGUGUAGCCUUUACUGUCUUGGACUCGCUUUGCAGACCAGGCUGGCCUUGAACUCACAGUGAUCUGACUGCCUCUGCCUCCGCAAGUGCUCAGAUUACAAGUGUGUGCUACCAUGCCUGGCUGUAAAAUAAGUUUUUUAAGUUUUUAUUUUUAACCACAUGUAUGUGUGCGUGUGUGUGUUUGUGGUGAGAGAGUAUGCAAGUGGAGGCCAGAGGCGAAGAGCAGGUGUCUUCCUUAACCAUGCCUCACCUUAAGCUUCCCACGGAGAGAGAGCCUCUCCCUGGAGCUCAGAGCUUGAGGAUCUAGCUAUCCACUAGUCAGCUUGCUCUCCCCAGAGGUUACAAUCAAUAGGCCUCCACUCCUACAUGGCAUUUACAUGGAUUCCAUAUCCAUUCCUCAAACUUACACAGAAAGUACUUUGCUUGAGAUGAGUCUUAUGUAACCUAGGUUAUUUUGGACCCCAAUUGGUAGCUGAGGGUGACUUUGAACUUCUGAUCCUCUAAUUUUGCCUUUCAACUGUUAGGCUUGCAGGCAGACAACCAGUUUUAUGAGGUGCUAGGAAUGGAACCUAGGUCUUUGUGGCAUGCUAGGCAAGAGCUCUGCUAACUGAGACAUAUCAGUAUGUUUUCAAAAGUAAAUUUGCUAAAUAAAUGUAAAAUGACAAUAAUAGAUUAUACGGAA
ensembl:lncRNA